UACUAGGUAAUCACCCGCGCUA
rnacentral:siRNA from 1 species